GUGGUGAAGUAGAGCCAAUUGGGUGUGCUCAUGACGUGGUGGUGGAAUGUGGGAGAAAGAAGGAAGCAGAGAAAGAAUCAAAUUGUUGUCCUUUUUACUCUAAAGAUGAUGCUAGUUACUGCAAUGGGAGAAUACUGGGGGAGAAAUGGUUUUUGAAGGAAAGUCAGCAUUCUAUUUUGGAUUGAGUUUGCCACAUGCUACAUGAAUUGAGUUUUCUAUAUGCUUUUGGUGUCUGUGUGGAAAUGUGAUGCAGGCCCUGGAGCUAGGGAAGGGUGCAGGCCUAGAGAGAGACACUGGGGAGGCCUCCACAGAGUGAUAUGGGUGAAAGCACAGGGCCGGACAUGGUCAUCUGUGGAGUAGGAAUGGAGGAAAGGGAGGAGAACCCACCAUGACACUGCACAGCAUUUUAGAGGUCUGAGGAAGGAGAUGCCACUCCAUGCAUGGAAAGUGACAUGACAAAAGAGGCCCUUUCUUACAAAAAUUCUUUGUGUCCUUUUUUUUGUUACUGCUUUUGUUUUUCUUUUUAUUAAAAUAAUUAUGAAAUAUUUCAAAACAUGCUGAAUACUGAAAAUAAAAUAACUGACACUCCACCCAGAUUUCUAACUUGUGAACAUUUUGCCACUUUGCAAUUGAUGGCAGGCAAAUCCCAAAAUUGGGGCUCAGCCCAGGAGGGUUCUUGACUUUGCUCAGGAAAGAACUGAAGAAUGAGCUGGCAAUGAAAGAAGGCAAGUUUAUUAGAGCAACAGUGUAUGGCAAAGUGGCUGCUCCCCAGAGCAGGGUUCUUUCAUAGGCAGAGCUGCCCAGAGCAGCAGCAGCAGCAGCAGCAGCAGUCCUUAUGGAUUGCUGGCUAGCUAUAUUUAUACACAGUCUUCGUUAUAUGCUAUUUAAGGAGUAGGUUAUUCAGAAUUUUCUAGAAAAGGGGUGGGGGAGUUCCUGGAACCAUAUAAGGAAACUUCUGGGUUGUUGCCAUGGCAUUUGUAAACUGUCAUGGCACUGGUGGGACUGUCUUUAUGCUUAUUAGCAGUGAGGGCAAGAGGGUCACUUUUGUUGCUAUCCGCUGGUUUCGGCUGGUGUCUUUGCUGCAUCCUGCUUUGAUUAGUAGGGUCAUGAUCGGUGCUCGGAAUAUAAGUCCUGCUGGUCUCCCAUCUCACUAUAUUCAUUUCAAAGACAACUAAAGUCAUGCCCCCAAACCGCUAAAGUCAUGCGGUCCAAACCGCUUCUUUUUCCUUCUCCAGGAGGCUUUAGUGAGCAAUGAGAACAGUGCCUGGUGUGUGGGAAGUUCUCAGUGAAGGUCAGGAACUGUGGCGCCGCUGGAGGUGGUCUUUACCAUUAUGAUGAUAUUGAGAGCCUUCACCGAACAGGCAAUGUUUGGAUUUAAGCUCUAAAGAAAUGCAGGUAGACAGAGGGCACAUUCCACAUAAGAAUCCAGGCAUGGAUUUUGAAGUAGCAGCUUGACCACUGUCAUUGCAGAGCUUAGGCUAGAGGACAGGAUUGGUUUUCAAGACUCUGAUACCCAUCUGUGACAGACGGGCAACUUCUGUGCUGGCAGUAUCAAAGCAACCCCACCAAGAGACACGCUGGCCUCUCUGUGGCUGGAUGGUUUCCAUGGUGUGGGGGAGUUUUGUUAUUGUUGCUUUUGUGAAGUUUAAGUUCUUGUGGCUUUUUCCCUUUGCCAGCCUUGCUUAAGACCAAAGGAGAGCUGGAUGGUAAAGACUCCCCUGAGAAUGGGCAAACGAGUUGCAGAUCAAGUAUCCUGGCCACAAAGACAAGGAGAGGAUCAGGCCCGAAGCUCCAGGCCUGGACACGCCCCGGAGGAGAAAUGAGCCUCGUGGUUAGUAACAGAGCCAAGCUUCCUUUGUCUAACCUUUCGCUGGAAUUAAGAGCUUUUCACAUUUCAGUUGACUUGAGAACAGACAGGGAGCCCCAAAUCAGAAGCAGAUUGGAGCUGGUGAGCAGGGAAAUGACACUUCAGCCUCUAAAACGCAGCAGCUCUGUUUGUCCCUUGCUUCUGACCCCAGCAGCCUCUUUGCUCCCUCUCUUCUCCCUACUCCAUAGAAGGCUUCUCUCCCCUUCUCUGAGACUCUGCUCUUAAAGCAGCAGGUGCCCGAUUCCAGUGGACUCUCUCCACUGUGGAAUGUAUCAGAGCAGGGGCAGCACCUUCCCCAGCAACACACCCUAUCACCUUUGAUCCUUUGCCAUUUGCACUAUGGGUUUUCAUUUGACCCAGCGGUCUGAGUUUGCUCCAGUAUUUGUGUUUUUGUGUUUUUCUUUCCUAUGCUUCUCUUUCCCUCCCUGCCCCUCCUUUAUGCUGUGGCCUAAGUACACUGAGCUUCUUCCUUUGUUUGUAUGACAGAGGAUUCCUUUUCAUUCGUCAGGAUGUUAACUAUGCAUACCACAAAAAAAUUGAAGCACAAAGCACCAAAAGAAAAUGAAGAUAGAAAAAUCUAGUGGAUUUGGAGGUGAAAGAAAGCAAACUUGCACCCAGUUUUCCAAACCUUAAACAGAUUUAUUUUCUUGGCCAAGUUCUCAGUUACUCACCACAGUGCUCUUAUUUUGUGCCUCAAGGGAUAGGCAAAAAGCUCUUUCCUGCUCAGCACUUACUUAAUACUUAAAAGAAAUACCCUUUCUUUCUCUAGCAAUGCACUUGUUUUAACAGUGGAAAUACAGGGCACCCAAGAGGUCAAACUCUCUAGAAACCUGGGGCCAAUACUUACAAAGACUGAUGCCCUGUGGGUGACUCAAAAACAACCCUGGAGUCAGAAUUAACAACAUUCUCCACAUACUGUUUAAAUGGUCACUCUUUGUCAGGAGCUGGGUACUUUCUGAAAACUGUUUCUGUAGCCUGCGGCAAGCCUGGGCUUUGGUUGUGAGGCCCAGAGGCUUAGCUUCUUCACCCAAUGCUUGCAAAAUGUUUAUAGCAAACUCAAAUACCUUCCACAGAUUACUCCCAUUCUCCAUCUGAUUUCUUCACCAGCUGUUCUCUGCCUGAUUCAUUGUGCAGAUUUCUUUCUAGUGUUGUGGAUAUUCCCUAGUUACCUACCAUAAUGCUUGGUCUUACAGGUGUAUAGCAUGUUUGCAAUGCUUGUUCAUAUGCUCCCAGGGAAAAAAAAAUCAUAAAAUAUAAUCUUAUGUGUAAUUUUCCUGAAUACUAAAUGCUUUGCCCUAAACUUGAAGAUAGUGUAUCAGUUGAAGGAUGCCAGGAAUUACUUCACCUCAUGUAUAUGUACCUGUUACAGAUUAUAUUCAUUUUCAAAUUAAUUUCAAAGCCAGCUGUUAUUUUUGCUAAAAGUCAUCCUUGAUGGUAUGCUUUAGCAACUACCAUUUAAAACUUAGAGACAACUAGCCGUGCAAUAUGAGGAUUUAAAAAUGCAGUACUUGAGUUGUUUAUUGUGGGUUUUACAUUUUGAGCUUAAGUCUCCUUCUUAAUAUAUUGUCUGUAGGCACUUAAUAAAAUAGAUCUUUAAGGAAAAAUAAAAUAGCUUUACUAUAUAUGUAACAUGCAUAUUAUAAAUAAAGUGUUGGAACUUUUUGGUGA